rnacentral:rRNA from 1 species
CCUGGUUGAUCCUGCCAGUAACAUAUGCUUGUCUCAAAGAUUAAGCCAUGCAGGUCUAAGUGCACACGGAAGGUACAGUGAAACUGCGAAUGGCUCAUUAAAUCAGUUAUGGUUCCUUUGAUCGCUCCACACUUACUCGGAUAACUGUGGUAAUUCCGAGCUAAUACAUGCAAACGAGCGCUGACCGGUCCUCUCUCGGGGGGGCCCGGGAUGGUGCAUUUAUCAGACCCAAAACCCACCGGGGGGACCCGCGAGGGUUUCCCCCGGCCCGUUGGGACUCUGAUAACUCGGGUCGAUCGCGCGCCCACCGCGGCGGCGAGACGUCUCAUUCGAAUGUCUGCCCUAUCAGCUGUCGAUGGUAGCAUAGGGGCUACCAUGGUGACCACGGGGUAACGGGGAAUCAGGGGAUUCCGGAGAGGGAGCCUGAGAAAUGGGCUACCACAUCCAAGGAAAGGCAGCAGGCGCGCAAAUUACCCAUUACCGACACGGUGAGGUAGUGACGAAAAAUAACGAUGCAGGUCUCUUUCUCGAGGCCCUGUAAUCGGAAUGAACGUAUCCUAAACACAUGUGAGGACCCAUUGGAGGGCAAGUCUGGUGCCAGCAGCCGCGGUAAUUCCAGCUCCAAUAGCGUAUAUUAAAUUUGCUGCAGUUAAAAAGCUCGUAGUUGGACUUCGGGAGUGGGCUGGCGGUCCGCCGCGAGGCGAGCUACCGCCUGUCCCAGACCCUGCCUCCCGGCGCCCCCCGGAUGCCCUUGGUUGGGUGUCCGGUCCUCAGGGGUCCGGAGCGUUUACUUUGAAAAAAAUCAGAGUGUUCAAAGGCGGGGCACCAAACUCGCCUGAAUGCCUGAGCUAGGAAUAAUGGAAUAGGACUCCGGUUCUAUUUUGUGGGUUUCCUGAACCAGGGCCAUGAUUAAGAGGGACGGCCGGGGGCUUCGUAUUGCGCCCGCUAGAGGUGGAAAUUCUUGGACCGGCGCAAGACGGACGAAAGCGAAAGCAUUUGCCAAGAAUGUUUUCAUUAAUCAAGAACGAAAGUCGGAGGUUCGAAGACCGAUAGAUACCGUCGUAGUUCCGACCGUAAACUAUGCCGACCCGCGAUCCGGCGGCGUUAUUCCCAUGACCCCGCCGGGCAGCGUGCGGGGAAACCAGAGUCUUUGGGUUCCGGGGGAGUAUGGUUGCAAAACUGAAACUUAAAGGAAUUGACGGAAGGGCACCCCAGGAGUGGAGUCUGCGGCUUAAUUUGACUCAACACGGGGAACCUCACCCGGGCCCGGCCACGGAAAGGAUUGACAGACUGAUGGCUUUUUUCGAUUCUGUGGGUGGUGGUGGCAUGGCCGUUCUUAGUUGGUGGAGUGAUUUGUCUGGUUAAUUCCGAUUAACGAACGAGAUUCCUUCGUGCUAAAUAUUUCGCGGCCCCCCGCGGUCGCGGUUAACUUCCUUAGAGGGACCAGUGGCGUAUAGCACGCGAGAUGGAGCAAUAAAAGGUCUGUGAUGCCCUUAGAUGUCCGGGGCUGCACGCGCGCCCCAAAAUGGCCGGGCCAGCGUGUGCCUACCCUACGCCGAGAGGGGCGCGGGUAAUCCGCUUAAACCCGUUCGUGACGGGGAUUGGGGAUUGCAAUUAUUCCCCAUGAACGCGAAUUCCCAGUAAGUGCGGUUAUCAGCUCGCGCUGAUUUAAGUCCCUGCCCUUUGUACACACCGCCCGUCGCUACUUCCCGAUUGGAUGGUUAUGUGAGGUCCUCGGAUCGGCCACGCCGGGGCUCCUUCGCGGGGCCUUGGUGCUGUGCUGAAAGUCGAUCGAACUUGAUCAUCUAGAGGAAGUAAAAGUCGUAACAAGGUUUCCGUAGGUGAACCUGCGGAAG